CUGGCGGCGUGCUUUAUACAUGCAAGUCGAACGAUGAAGUUCCUUCGGGAAUGGAUUAGUGGCGAACGGGUGAGGAACACGUGAGAAACCUGCCUUUCAUUCUGGGAUAACACCGGGAAACCGGUGCUAAUACCGGAUACUCCAUCUUGGCGGCAUCGCCGAGCUGGGAAAAAAUUUUGAUGAAAGAUGGUCUCGCGGCCUAUCAGCUAGUUGGUGAGGUAAAGGCUCACCAAGGCGACGACGGGUAGCCGGCCUGAGAGGGCGACCGGCCACACUGGGACUGAGACACGGCCCAGACUCCUACGGGAGGCAGCAGUAGGGAAUAUUGGGCAAUGGGCGAAAGCCUGACCCAGCGACGCCGCGUGAGGGAUGAAGGUCUUCGGAUUGUAAACCUCUUUCAGUAGGGAAGAAGCGAAAGUGACGGUACCUAAAGAAGAAGCACCGGCUAACUAUGUGCCAGCAGCCGCGGUAAUACAUAGGGUGCAAGCGUUGUCCGGAAUUAUUGGGCGUAAAGAGCUCGUAGGUCGUUUGUCGCGUCGAUUGUGAAAAUCUGAGGCUCAACCUCAGACCUGCAGUCGAUACGGGCAAACUAGAGUGUGGUAGGGGAGACUGGAAUUCCUGGUGUAGCGGUGGAAUGCGCAGAUAUCAGGAGGAACACCAAUGGCGAAGGCAGGUCUCUGGGCCAUAACUGACACUGAGGAGCGAAAGUGCGGGGAGCGAACAGGAUUAGAUACCCUGGUAGUCCGCACCGUAACGGUGGGCACUAGUUGUGGGANCUUCCACGGUUCCGCGACGCAGCA
rnacentral:rRNA from 1 species